rnacentral:rRNA from 1 species
GAUCCUGCCGGAGGUCACUGCUAUUGGGAUUCGACUAAGCCAUGCGAGUCGAGAGGGUUCGGCCCUCGGCUGACGGCUCAGUAACACGUGGAUAAUCUGCCCUAAGGUGGAGGAUAACCUCGGGAAACUGAGAAUAAUACUCCAUAGGUCUAGGAUGCUGGAAUGCACUUAGGCUGAAAACUUCGGUGCCUUAGGAUGAGUCUGCGGACUAUCAGGUUGUAGUCAGGGUAAAGACCUGACUAGCCUACGACGGAUACGGGUUGUGAGAGCAAUAACCCGGAGAUGAUAUCUGAGACACGAUAUCAGGCCCUACGGGGCGCAGCAGGCGCGAAAACUUCGCACUGCGCGAAAGCGCGACGAGGGAAUCCCAAGUGUAUGCACGUAAGUGUAUACUGUUUCUCUGUCUAAAAAACAGAGAGAGUAAGAGCUGGGUAAGACGGGUGCCAGCCGCCGCGGUAAUACCUGCAGCUCGAGUGGUGAUCGUUAUUAUUGGGCCUAAAACGUCCGUAGCCGGUCUUUUAAAUGCCUGGGUAAAUCGUAUGGCUUAACCAUACGAAUUCCGGGUAGACUGUUAGACUUGAGACCGGGAGAAGCUAGAGGUACUCCUGGGGUAGAGGUGAAAUUCUGUAAUCCUAGGGGGACGACCAGUGGCGAAGGCGUCUAGCUAGAACGGGUCUGACGGUGAGGGACGAAGCCCUGGGGCGCAAACGGGAUUAGAUACCCCGGUAGUCCAGGGUGUAAACGCUGCUUGCUUGAUGUUAGUCUGGCUCCGAGCCAGAUUAGUGUCGGAGAGAAGUUGUUAAGCAAGCUGCCUGGGAAGUACGGCCGCAAGACUGAAACUUAGAGGAAUUGGCGGGGGAGCACAGCAACGGGUGGAGCGUGCGGUUUAAUUGGAUUCAACGCCGGA